UAAAGGCUGACUCAAGGCUGGACUUGUUAUAGGAUUGCUCAUCUAAGCGUUUUCGAAAGCUGUGUAGGACCAACAUUGGAAAAGAGACUGUGUUGAGUACGCAGAGAAGAAAAUUGUUCAGAGAGGACUUGGUCCACCCCCAGGUUGGGGAGAGUCAUAUAAGCACACAGAAGUGUGUCUCCUGGACUAUAUAAAAUAGCAUCAAGUCUGAUAAUUAAGACCUACAUCUACAGACAUCAAGAAGCGUCUCAGAGCUGGAGAGGACAGGGUCUCCACAAGGAGAGCAACAGAACAAGAAAAUUUGAACACAGGGAACUUCCCAAAGACUCAUACUCCAACCAAGGACUAUUCAUAGAGAUAACCUAGAACCCCUGCACAGAUGGAGCCCAGGGCAGUUCAGAGUCCAAUUGGGUUACAUAGUAAUGUGAAGAGGGACUGCCUCUGACAUAAUCUGAUUGGCCUGCUCUUUGAUCACCUCCCCCUGGGGGGGAGCAGCCUUACCAGGCCAUAGUAGAGGACAAUGCAGCCACUUCUGAUGUGAACUGAUGGACUAAGAUCAGAAAGGAGAGGAGAACCUCCCCUAUCAGUGGACUUGGGGAGUGUCAUGCAUGCAGAGGGAGGAGGGAAGGUGGGAUUGAGAGGGGCUGAGGGAGGGGGCUAUAGCUGGGAUACAAAGUGAAUAACCUAUAAUCAAUGUAAAAAAUAAAAAGAAAAAAGAAAAUAAUAAUUUAAAAAUACUUCUUUCAUCCAGUUGUUACUGAUAAUACUUAGUGAAUGUGUUACUGAACACGUGCCCGGCUUUCAUAUCUGUCUUCUUUUUGACACGUGCUAAGUAUAUGAAGAAUUCUGGGAGAAUAAUCAGCACUGCGCUUACACUGUAUGCGAAAUAAUGUUCGGUCACCGUGGCUGUCAGAUGAGCUAAUGCCUUUCUUACACAAGCACUUGACAGUAACCACCUGAUAACUGUAGAAAACAGCAUAUAAAUAUAUUAUUUUAGCUCAAGUGCUUUCUGGUGCUGAGAUGGAACACAGCUCUGAUGGCAGUGGAGUGUGACUAGAGCAUGUUAACUGUGCAUUGUCUUCUUGCUUUGAGAUGCAAAAUCAUAUGGUUCCUUACAAAAAAAAAAAAGCUAAAAUAUGCAGCUGAAGUGAAAACACUGAACUGGACCACUGGACUAGCAUUUGUAUAAUGCUGUAUUUUUGAUAUACUCUUCGCCAUUGGAAGCAAUAUUUUCACUGCUUCUCUUUAUUGAAUAUUGAUUAAUUCAUUCGUUGCACUUGUGCCCAGAAUAUAACUUGUA